rnacentral:rRNA from 1 species
UACAUGGGGUGCAAACGUUGCUCGGAAUUAUUGGGCGUAAAGAGCUCGUAGGCGGUCUGUCGCGUCGGCUGUGAAAUCCCGAGGCUCAACCUCGGGUCUGCAGUCGAUACGGGCAAACUAGAGUAUUGCAGGGGAGACUGGAAUUCCUGGUGUAGCGGUGAAAUGCGCAGAUAUCAGGAGGAACACCGGUGGCGAAGGCGGGUCUCUGGGCCGUAACUGACGCUGAGGAGCGAAAGCAUGGGGAGCGAACAGG